UACGGAGGGUGCAAGCGUUAUCCGGAUUCACUGGGUUUAAAGGGCGCGUAGGCGGGCAAGCAAGUCAGGGGUGAAAUCCCACGGCUCAACCGUGGAAGUGCCUUUGAUACUGCCUGUCUUGAGGGAGGUAGGGGCGUGCGGAACUUCCGGUGGAGCGGUGAAAUGCGUAGAUAUCGGAAGGAACACCAGUGGCGAAGGCGGCUUACUGGUCCGGUUCUGACGCUGAGGCGCGAAAGCGUGGGGAGCAAACAGG
rnacentral:rRNA from 1 species